rnacentral:rRNA from 1 species
UGAGCAAUCUGCCCUUAGCUCUGGGAUAACCCCGGGAAACCGGGGCUAAUACCGGAUACGAGUCCGAGCGGCAUCACACGGACUGGAAAGUUUUUCGGCUAAGGAUGGGCUCGCGGCCUAUCAGCUUGUUGGUGGGGUGAUGGCCUACCAAGGCAACGACGGGUAGCCGGCCUGAGAGGGCGACCGGCCACACUGGGACUGAGACACGGCCCAGACUCCUACGGGAGGCA